GCAUUGGUGGUUCAGUGGUAGAAUUCUCACUUCCCAUGUGGGAGAUUGGGUUCGAUUCCCGACCAAUGCA